rnacentral:rRNA from 1 species
UGCCAGCAGCCGCGGUAAUACGAGGGGGGCAAGCGUUAUUCGGAAUUACUGGGCGUAAAGCGCGCGCAGGCGGCCUGUUAAGUGAGAAGUGAAAGCCCCGGGCUCAACCUGGGAACGGCUUCUCAUACUGGCAGGCUGGAGUAUGGGAGAGGAAAGUGGAAUUCCCGGUGUAGCGGUGAAAUGCGUAGAGAUCGGGAGGAACACCAGUGGCGAAGGCGGCUUUCUGGACCAUAACUGACGCUGAGGCGCGAAAGCGUGGGUAGCAAACAGGAUUAGAUA